rnacentral:sRNA from 1 species
AAGGAUCAUUACCUAGAGUUGCAGGCUUUGCCUGCUAUCUCUUACCCAUGUCUUUUGAGUACCUUACGUUUCCUCGGUGGGUUUCGCCCACCGAUUGGACAAAUUUAAACCCUUUGCAGUUGAAAUCAGCGUCUGAAAAAACUUAAUAGUUACAACUUUCAACAACGGAUCUCUUGGUUCUGGCAUCGAUGAAGAACGCAGCGAAAUGCGAUAAGUAGUGUGAAUUGCAGAAUUCAGUGAAUCAUCGAAUCUUUGAACGCACAUUGCGCCCCUUGGUAUUCCAUGGGGCAUGCCUGUUCGAGCGUCAUUUGUACCUUCAAGCUCUGCUUGGUGUUGGGUGUUUGUCUCCUGUAGACUCGCCUCAAAACAAUUGGCAGCCGGCGUAUUGAUUUCGGAGCGCAGUACAUCUCGCGCUUUGCACUCAUAACGACGACAUCCAAAAGUACAUUUUUACACUCUUGACCUCGGAUCAGGUAGGGAUACCCGCUGAACUUAA